rnacentral:rRNA from 1 species
ACUCCUACGGGAGGCAGCAGUGAGGAAUAUUGCGCAAUGGGGGAAACUCUGAUGCAGCAACGCCGCGUGGAGGAUGACACAUUUCGGUGCGUAAACUCCUUUUAUAUGGGAAGAUAAUGACGGUACCAUAUGAAUAAGCACCGGCUAACUCCGUGCCAGCAGCCGCGGUAAUACGGAGGGUGCAAGCGUUACUCGGAAUCACUGGGCGUAAAGCGCGCGCAGGCGGCUAUUUAAGUUGGAUGUGAAAGCCUACGGCUCAACCGUAGAACUGCAUCCAAAACUAUUUAGCUAGAGUGUGGGAGAGGAAGAUGGAAUUAGUUGUGUAGGGGUAAAAUCCGUAGAGAUAACUAGGAAUACCAAAAGCGAAGGCAAUCUUCUGGAACAUUACUGACGCUGAGGCGCGAAAGCGUGGGGAGCAAACAGGAUUAGAUACCCUGGUAGUCCACGCCCUAAACGAUGAAUGGUAGUCGUCGGGUAGCUAGUCUAUUCGGUGAUGCAGCUAACGCAUUAAACAUUCCGCCUGGGGAGUACGGUCGCAAGAUUAAAACUCAAAGGAAUAGACGGGGACCCGCACAAGUGGUGGAGCAUGUGGUUUAAUUCGAAGAUACGCGAAGAACCUUACCUAGCCUUGACAUAUAUUAGAACUCACCAGAGAUGGAGAGGUGCCUUCGGGAGCUUUUAUACAGGUGCUGCACGGCUGUCGUCAGCUCGUGUCGUGAGAUGUUGGGUUAAGUCCCGCAACGAGCGCAACCCUCGUCACUAGUUACUAACGGUUCGGGCCGAGGACUCUAGUGAGACUGCCUUCGUAAGGAGGAGGAGGUGAGGACGACGUCAGUCAUCAUGGCCCUUACGGCUAGGCAACACACGUGCUACAUGGUCAGGACAGUGAGACGCGAUACGUUGAGGUGGAGCAUCUAUAGCUGAUUUCAGUCGAAUGGAGUCUGCAAUCGACUACUGAGCUGUAUCCUAGAUCGUAAAUAGCUAGGCUCGGGUAAUCGUCCGACUUGCCACCGCGGUAUCAUGAAUCCGGGUCUCGA